AUCCGGCUGACGAGUCCCAAAUAGGAUGAAACGCG
rnacentral:hammerhead_ribozyme from 1 species